AGCAGAGUCUCCUCUGAGCUCUUCACUCCUCGACACCAGUUAGCAGUGACGCUUUCAGAGCUGCACCGGUUUGAAAAAUCGUGCAGAAAGAAAGACCUUCAUCUAACGGGAUUGCCCACGAGUGCUCACGGCUACUAUUUUAUCCUCAUCGACACACUUUUUGUCCAUAAGGAAAUGGAAAAUCCAGACAGAGAUGGUGGAGGGGUGAGCUGGAGGGCGGCAUAGACUCAGCGAAGUGGUUCUAUUUACUACCAGGAGGAGACUGGCUUUGGAGCAAGUGCUGCAAGUCUACCUGUUAAAGUGGCUCUGAAUAUUGUGGGUAGCAGAUUCCAUGAGGAUGCACCAACACUCCAGCCAAGGACGAUGAACGAAAGAAAGAGAAAGCGAUGUUGGAGAACUGAACACAAAAGCAGAGCAAAACUGGGCAUGGUUACCACCACAAGGGCAACGAUGGCAGAGAAUCUAGGCCUUAAAUCCACAGAGGUAACGAGCAGAUGAGAAAGAGGUGUGACUGAUGAAUUCAGGAACCACAGGAACAUCUCCACACAUGUUCGUGGCCGAGGCGUCCUUCUCCAACAGAGAGAGGGACAAAGAAGGAGGGAGAGAGAGAGGGCCUGCCAGGACAGAUGCAUUGCUUUUAUAGGUGCAAAAAUGCUAAAAACAGGCCAUUUUAUCCUGUUGCAGGGUGGUUGCCGGGCAACAUAAGGGCAUCAUAAUAUCUGAGAUGGGUACAAAUCUUCAGGGGCCUGAAAUGUACCUGUGUGCCAAGUUUGAUUGCUCAACACCUGAUUGUCUGGGAGGAGUUAGCAGCUGAAGGAACAAACCGGCAGUUUGGAUCAUUAAUCUUUUUGUCAAGAGCAGUUUUUCUGACUCUCUUUUUUAUCCCUUCAUCUGCACAACAACAAAUCUUUAAGAGCAAGAGAAGAAGAAAUCUGUGGAGUCAAACAUCUUGCUGACACUCCAGUGGCAGCAGUCAGAGACAGCCACAGUUCAGCAGUCAGGCUGACAUGUUUGGUCCAUAUCAGGAAUUGUCUAGCAAGGCCUUCUGACUCUGCAUCACUGGUGCCACAGUCACAGCUCAUUAGUUUGGAUUAUGGAGAUCUGCCAGGAACCAACUCAUUUUCACUGAUGUAAUAUGCCUGCAAAUACAAUACUGAGAGAAAUGCCAACACUUAUUAUGAAGACUCUCUACUCAAGAUGCCUUUUUAUCAUUCAGCUCUCCAUAGAAGAAGGUUAUGUUUGUGUAAGACUGAUUACGA